GUUCGGUCCCUAUCCAUCGUGGGCGUAGGAAAAUUGAGAAGGGCUGUUCCUAGUACGAGAGGACCGGAAUGGACAUACCUCUGGUGUAUCUGUUGUAACGCCAGUUGCAGUGCAGAGUAGCUAUGUAUGGAAGGGAUAAUCGCUGAGAGCAUCUAAGCGAGAAGCCCUCUUCAAGAUGAGUUUUCCCAUAUUUUAUAUAGUAAGAUCCCUUGUAGACUACGAGGUUGAUAGGCUAGAGGUGGAAGCGUAGUGAUACGUUGAGCUGACUAGUACUAAUAGAUCGAGGAUUUAAUCAU
rnacentral:rRNA from 1 species